GACGAACGCUGGCGGCGUGCUUAACACAUGCAAGUCGAACGGAAAGGCCCUGCUUUUGUGGGGUGCUCGAGUGGCGAACGGGUGAGUAACACGUGAGUAACCUGCCCUUGACUUUGGGAUAACUUCAGGAAACUGGGGCUAAUACCGGAUAGGAGCUCCUGCUGCAUGGUGGGGGUUGGAAAGUUUCGGCGGUUGGGGAUGGACUCGCGGCUUAUCAGCUUGUUGGUGGGGUAGUGGCUUACCAAGGCUUUGACGGGUAGCCGGCCUGAGAGGGUGACCGGCCACAUUGGGACUGAGAUACGGCCCAGACUCCUACGGGAGGCAGCAGCGGGGAAUAUUGCACAAUGGGCGGAAGCCUGAUGCAGCAACGCCGCGUGCGGGAUGACGGCCUUCGGGUUGUAAACCGCUUUCGCCUGUGACGAAGCGUGAGUGACGGUAAUGGGUAAAGAAGCACCGGCUAACUACGUGCCAGCAGCCGCGGUGAUACGUAGGGUGCGAGCGUUGUCCGGAUUUAUUGGGCGUAAAGGGCUCGUAGGUGGUUGAUCGCGUCGGAAGUGUAAUCUUGGGGCUUAACCCUGAGCGUGCUUUCGAUACGGGUUGACUUGAGGAAGGUAGGGGAGAAUGGAAUUCCUGGUGGAGCGGUGGAAUGCGCAGAUAUCAGGAGGAACACCAGUGGCGAAGGCGGUUCUCUGGGCCUUUCCUGACGCUGAGGAGCGAAAGCGUGGGGAGCGAACAGGCUUAGAUACCCUGGUAGUCCACGCUGUAAACGGUGGGUACUAGGUGUGGGGUCCAUUCCACGGGUUCCGUGCCGUAGCUAACGCUUUAAGUACCCCGCCUGGGGAGUACGGCCGCAAGGCUAAAACUCAAAGGAAUUGACGGGGCCCCGCACAAGCGGCGGAGCAUGCGGAUUAAUUCGAUGCAACGCGUAGAACCUUACCUGGGUUUGACAUGGAUCGGGAGUGCUCAGAGAUGGGUGUGCCUCUUUUGGGGUCGGUUCACAGGUGGUGCAUGGCUGUCGUCAGCUCGUGUCGUGAGAUGUUGGGUUAAGUCCCGCAACGAGCGCAACCCUUGUUCACUGUUGCCAGCACGUUAUGGUGGGGACUCAGUGGAGACCGCCGGGGUCAACUCGGAGGAAGGUGGGGAUGACGUCAAGUCAUCAUGCCCCUUAUGUCCAGGGCUUCACGCAUGCUACAAUGGCUGGUACAGAGAGUGGCGAGCCUGUGAGGGUGAGCGAAUCUCGGAAAGCCGGUCUCAGUUCGGAUUGGGGUCUGCAACUCGACCUCAUGAAGUCGGAGUCGCUAGUAAUCGCAGAUCAGCAACGCUGCGGUGAAAACGUUCCCGGGGCU
rnacentral:rRNA from 1 species